rnacentral:misc_RNA from 1 species
CUCGAUUGUGCUAUGUACAUGCAACUGAGCGGCCAACAACUGCUGUCUAAAAUUAUAAACUACGUUAAUCUUGAAUUUCCAAGAACCUCGAUAAUAGAUUUACAAAUUUUAAUAAAUAAGUCUAGAAAAUUAACGAGUCUAAAGGCAAGGAAUCUAACGGCAGGUUCGAGGCAAUGAUCGCUUCUGCUUCGAUAAUCACAGCGCUGGGCCUAGCGCUUAGUUUUUGCAUCCCGGCCGACUAAGUCGUCGCGUCUGUGUUCACAUUAUUUUCGAACCGCUGAUCAUUGUUCUUCGAAUUCCGAAGUUCUAACGGCGAUGCUCCCCUAUCUUCGGCAGUGUCCGGCGGUAAUUAUUUUUCUUUUCGCGGCCACGAAGAUGAAGGGCACGGAGCGGUAUAAACCAGCAAGCUGCGGCAACCGGCUUACGCACUUUCAAUCGCGAUCUGGCGGUAAAUAGUGAAUAAUCUACGUGCUUCGCGUAAUCGCUAAUCGCUGAUCUCGACCUUAAUUUAUUCUAAUCGGCUUACUAAUACGCACUUGUACAACGUUACCGCCGUUCUCGGAUUUUAGAAACACAUUGUAUACACUCUAUAGAUUAUCAAAUUCUGCACAUUAAGUACUUACGUCCUUUGUAUUAUUUUCUUCUUCUUCGUUUUGUUAAUUAAAUUUAAAUGUCAAAAUAAACUCUAAUUCCAGAAAAAUUUCGAGUAAUCCGACCUUCUUGCUUAAACUUCAAUCUAGCACGACGUAGAAUUGGUGUUUCCAAACAUUUUAGUUAAGCAUCAGGAGAACAUGAGUAGUCUUGUAGCUCCAGUUUUG